rnacentral:pre_miRNA from 1 species
CGUGGUGCAGAUGGCAGCGCCAUUUCCAGAGCUAUAAACAGUCUCAUUGUCAUAGCUCUUUGAAUGGUACUGCCAUAUGUACCGGA